rnacentral:misc_RNA from 1 species
CUCUCUCUCUCUCUCUCUCGUCCUCUCUGGCAUCAACUUCUUUGAGUUGUAAGGAAUAUCUCCCUUGUUUUAUGGAAAAAACAUCACCAGCCCAAUGCUUGAGCCCUGAGCUUGUCAUAAAGAGAAAAACUUACACUUCUUGGUGACAUUUCUAUAUUCAACUUUAGAUAGUAGUGGAUUUUGCAACUAAGUUCUAAUUUGGAGCUCUGAUAUAUUUGAGAUGAAGGAAAUUUGAAAGGAUGGUCCAUAAUAUUUAACUGAUAGUCCCUUAUUCUUGUAUCUUUUGACAGACUUGUGCUUUUAUGAGCAAGCCUCCAGUCUGAGUAAAGUUACUUAUCAUUGCUAGAUCUUGCAUUUCCGUGCUUUGUUUCAUUACUGUUAUCAAUUGCAAAUACAAAGAUCAUUUUAUCACAUGUAUUUUGGUGGCUGUGGACCUUUGUCAUGUGAUGAAAGUAGCAACUAUAAAAUUAAGGUAAACAACACCUAGUUGGCCUCCCUACUUAUGUGGAUAGUGGGGGAUCUCAAGUUUGAGUACCCCUUAUCCACCAAAUAUUGGUAGAACUAUUGGAUGGUGGGGCUAAGGAAGGGGGAUGAGCUAACCCCAUUGUGUAGCCUAGUCCUAUUGGUUCUAUAGACAAUCCCAAAAAAAAAGGGAAAGAACAGGUGGGAAUGGGUUUGACUACAAGUAAACAUGGAGAAAAUGCUUGCCCACAUUCUCUAUUUUGUUUGAAUGCAGAAUAUUUCAUUGAGAAUAAUUUGAUGGACCAUGAUUAGAGUUUGAUUAUUUAAAGCAUGAUUUUAAAUAGUAUCUUUAUGUGCUAUUACACUGUAACAAGUUGACCUAGUCUGUCAUCCCAAGCUAUUCAGAAUGUGGGAGUAACUUUUUGGAGCUUUUUAUUAUAUA